rnacentral:rRNA from 1 species
UUUGCUUGCAAGUGAAGAUGGCGACCGGCGCACGGGUGAGUAACACGUAUCCAACCUGCCGAUAACUCGGGGAUAGCCUUUCGAAAGAAAGAUUAAUAUCCGAUAGCAUAUCAAUCCCGCAUGAGAUUGGUAUUAAAGAAUUUCGGUUAUCGAUGGGGAUGCGUUCCAUUAGUUUGUUGGCGGGGUAACGGCCCACCAAGACUACGAUGGAUAGGGGUUCUGAGAGGAAGGUCCCCCACAUUGGAACUGAGACACGGUCCAAACUCCUACGGGAGGCAGCAGUGAGGAAUAUUGGUCAAUGGACGUAAGUCUGAACCAGCCAAGUAGCGUGAAGGAUGACUGCCCUAUGGGUUGUAAACUUCUUUUAUAUGGGAAUAAAGUAUUCCACGUGUGGGAUUUUGUAUGUACCAUAUGAAUAAGGAUCGGCUAACUCCGUGCCAGCAGCCGCGGUAAUACGGAGGAUCCGAGCGUUAUCCGGAUUUA